UACGGAGGGGGCUAGCGUUGUUCGGAAUUACUGGGCGUAAAGCGCACGUAGGCGGCUUUGUAAGUUAGAGGUGAAAGCCCAGGGCUCAACCCUGGAAUUGCCUUUAAGACUGCAUCGCUUGAAUCAUGGAGAGGUGAGUGGAAUUCCGAGUGUAGAGGUGAAAUUCGUAGAUAUUCGGAAGAACACCAGUGGCGAAGGCGACUCACUGGACAUGUAUUGACGCUGAGAUGCGAAAGCGUGGGGAGCAAACAGG
rnacentral:rRNA from 1 species